AUAUACAAAUGAUAAUUCAUCCCAUGUAACCUUUUCUCAAGUGUUUAUCAUGUCUCCCCCUCAUGUUAGUAAAGCUAACUUGUUUCCUCAACAUUGGGAAAUCUUCUUUGUGUAUUAUUAUGUCAAUAUAUACAGCACAUUAAUAACAAGAUGAAAUUAUUUGGUUCCUGACCCUGAACCACAUGUGAGGGGAGAAUAUACUCUCGUAUACAACGUAUAUCAAACUGAUAUAUAUAACUUUGUUCUCAUAAGAAACAGUUUAGCUAUUAAGUGGNNNN
rnacentral:lncRNA from 1 species